rnacentral:rRNA from 1 species
UACGGAGGGGGCUAGCGUUGUUCGGAAUUACUGGGCGUAAAGCGCACGUAGGCGGCUUUGUAAGUUAGAGGUGAAAGCCCGGAGCUCAACUCCGGAAUUGCCUUUAAGACUGCAUCGCUAGAAUUGUGGAGAGGUAAGUGGAACUCCGAGUGUAGAGGUGAAAUUCGUAGAUAUUCGGAAGAACACCAGUGGCGAAGGCGACUUACUGGACACAUAUUGACGCUGAGGUGCGAAAGCGUGGGGAGCAAACAGG